rnacentral:rRNA from 1 species
UUAAGCGACUAAGCGUACACGGUGGAUGCCCUGGCAGUCAGAGGCGAUGAAGGACGUGCUAAUCUGCGAAAAGCGUCGGUAAGGUGAUAUGAACCGUUAUAACCGGCGAUGUCCGAAUGGGGAAACCCAGUGCAAUUCGUUGCACUAUCGUUAACUGAAUACAUAGGUUAACGAGGCGAACCGGGGGAACUGAAACAUCUAAGUACCCCGAGGAAAAGAAAUCAACCGAGAUUCCCCCAGUAGCGGCGAGCGAACGGGGAGCAGCCCAGAGUCUGAAUCAGCUUGUGUGUUAGUGGAACGGUCUGGAAAGUCCGACGGUACAGGGUGAUAGUCCCGUACACCAAAAUGCACAGGCUGUGAACUCGAAGAGUAGGGCGGGACACGUGGUAUCCUGUCUGAAUAUGGGGGGACCAUCCUCCAAGGCUAAAUACUCCUGACUGACCGAUAGUGAACCAGUACCGUGAGGGAAAGGCGAAAAGAACCCCGGCGAGGGGAGUGAAAAAGAACCUGAAACCGUGUACGUACAAGCAGUGGGAGCACCUUCGGGUGUGACUGCGUACCUUUUGUAUAAUGGGUCAGCGACUUAUAUUCUGUAGCAAGGUUAACCGUAUAGGGGAGCCGCAGGGAAACCGAGUCUUAACUGGGCGUUAAGUUGCAGGGUAUAGACCCGAAACCCGGUGAUCUAGCCAUGGGCAGGUUGAAGGUUGGGUAACACUAACUGGAGGACCGAACCGACUAAUGUUGAAAAAUUAGCGGAUGACUUGUGGCUGGGGGUGAAAGGCCAAUCAAACCGGGAGAUAGCUGGUUCUCCCCGAAAGCUAUUUAGGUAGCGCCUCGUGAACUCAUCUUCGGGGGUAGAGCACUGUUUCGGCUAGGGGGUCAUCCCGACUUACCAACCCGAUGCAAACUACGAAUACCGAAGAAUGUUAUCACGGGAGACACACGGCGGGUGCUAACGUCCGUCGUGAAGAGGGAAACAACCCAGACCGCCAGCUAAGGUCCCAAAGUCAUGGUUAAGUGGGAAACGAUGUGGGAAGGCACAGACAGCCAGGAUGUUGGCUUAGAAGCAGCCAUCAUUUAAAGAAAGCGUAAUAGCUCACUGGUCGAGUCGGCCUGCGCGGAAGAUGUAACGGGGCUAAACCAUGCACCGAAGCUGCGGCAGCGACACUAUGUGUUGUUGGGUAGGGGAGCGUUCUGUAAGCCUGCGAAGGUGUGCUGUGAGGCAUGCUGGAGGUAUCAGAAGUGCGAAUGCUGACAUAAGUAACGAUAAAGCGGGUGAAAAGCCCGCUCGCCGGAAGACCAAGGGUUCCUGUCCAACGUUAAUCGGGGCAGGGUGAGUCGACCCCUAAGGCGAGGCCGAAAGGCGUAGUCGAUGGGAAACAGGUUAAUAUUCCUGUACUUGGUGUUACUGCGAAGGGGGGACGGAGAAGGCUAUGUUAGCCGGGCGACGGUUGUCCCGGUUUAAGCAUGUAGGCUGGUUAUCCAGGCAAAUCCGGAUAAUCAAGGCUGAGGUGUGAUGACGAGGCACUACGGUGCUGAAGUAACAAAUGCCCUGCUUCCAGGAAAAGCCUCUAAGCAUCAGGUAACAUCAAAUCGUACCCCAAACCGACACAGGUGGUCAGGUAGAGAAUACCAAGGCGCUUGAGAGAACUCGGGUGAAGGAACUAGGCAAAAUGGUGCCGUAACUUCGGGAGAAGGCACGCUGGUGUGUAGGUGAAGUCCCUGCGGAUGGAGCUGAGACCAGUCGAAGAUACCAGCUGGCUGCAACUGUUUAUUAAAAACACAGCACUGUGCAAACACGAAAGUGGACGUAUACGGUGUGACGCCUGCCCGGUGCCGGAAGGUUAAUUGAUGGGGUUAUCCGUAAGGAGAAGCUCUUGAUCGAAGCCCCGGUAAACGGCGGCCGUAACUAUAACGGUCCUAAGGUAGCGAAAUUCCUUGUCGGGUAAGUUCCGACCUGCACGAAUGGCGUAAUGAUGGCCAGGCUGUCUCCACCCGAGACUCAGUGAAAUUGAACUCGCUGUGAAGAUGCAGUGUACCCGCGGCAAGACGGAAAGACCCCGUGAACCUUUACUAUAGCUUGACACUGAACAUUGAGCCUUGAUGUGUAGGAUAGGUGGGAGGCUUUGAAGCGUGGACGCCAGUCUGCGUGGAGCCAACCUUGAAAUACCACCCUUUAAUGUUUGAUGUUCUAACGUUGGCCCCUGACCGGGGUUGCGGACAGUGUCUGGUGGGUAGUUUGACUGGGGCGGUCUCCUCCCAAAGCGUAACGGAGGAGCACGAAGGUUAGCUAAUCCUGGUCGGACAUCAGGAGGUUAGUGCAAUGGCAUAAGCUAGCUUGACUGCGAGCGUGACGGCGCGAGCAGGUGCGAAAGCAGGUCAUAGUGAUCCGGUGGUUCUGAAUGGAAGGGCCAUCGCUCAACGGAUAAAAGGUACUCCGGGGAUAACAGGCUGAUACCGCCCAAGAGUUCAUAUCGACGGCGGUGUUUGGCACCUCGAUGUCGGCUCAUCACAUCCUGGGGCUGAAGUAGGUCCCAAGGGUAUGGCUGUUCGCCAUUUAAAGUGGUACGCGAGCUGGGUUUAGAACGUCGUGAGACAGUUCGGUCCCUAUCUGCCGUGGGCGCUGGAGAAUUGAGGGGGGCUGCUCCUAGU